rnacentral:rRNA from 1 species
GUGAGGAAUAUUGGUCAAUGGGCGAGAGCCUGAACCAGCCAAGUCGCGUGAAGGAUGAAGGUUUUAUGAAUUGUAAACUUCUUUUGCAGGGGAAUAAAGUACGGUACGUGUACCGUUUUGUAUGUACUCUGCGAAUAAGGAUCGGCUAACUCCGUGCCAGCAGCCGCGGUAAUACGGAGGAUCCAAGCGUUAUCCGGAUUUAUUGGGUUUAAAGGGUGCGCAGGCGGGUUGAUAAGUCAGCGGUGAAAGUUUGCAGCUUAACUGUAAAAUUGCCGUUGAAACUGUAGAGCUUGAGUGCAAAUGAGGUAAGCGGAAUGUGUUGUGUAGCGGUGAAAUGCUUAGAUAUAACACAGAACACCGAUUGCGAAGGCAGCUUACUGGGAUGCAACUGACGCUCAUGCACGAAAGCGUGGGGAUCAAACAGGAUUAGAAACCCUGGUAGUCC